ACGACGAGGGCUAAAUCGGGGCAUCGCAUGUCUUGUGUGGCUAUGUGGUGUUCUAACACCGGGAUUUCCAGUUCUGCGAAGUUUUUCAGGUUUCCUAAUGACAACAGAGCAUUCUUGUCCGAAGCAACUGGACUGACCACGACGUGACACGCGAGCACUACGAGAACCUGGUCCGGAGAUCCCGCUUCGUCGAGAAAUUCAAUCAUCGCGAGAUGGACGAGCUGGUUCUCGACAGCCUCACCGCGUACUUCGCUAGCUACAUUCCGAGCUUGCCCGAGGCACGAGCCGUCGCCGUGGAAAUGGCAGAGGCGCAUGCGAGCGACGAGCAAAGCUCUUUGAUUGGCGUCCCCGCCGAUCAACUGUUUUUCCUCGUCAACUGCUUUACCCGCUGCGGCGAGGCUGGGACUGCGUAUGAAUUGCAGACGGUCAUCUGCAACUUGGCCUUGCCUUCCAUAACAACCUUCAGGCGAGCGUUCAAGUGCGAACAGCGUCAUCGACUGGUGACAAACUUUACAUGGCCCGAACCGGUCAACUCGAACCAUGCUGUUGCAACGUAGACGAUCGCGUGCACUUCCGGACACAUUCACAAACACUUGUAAAUGUUUUCAAGGCUUUAUUUCUGCCUUGAAGCAACUACGGCCUAAAUAUGCAUGAUAUAACUUCGACCUUAUCUUUCACGGUGAAAAAAAAAAUAUAUAUAUAUAUAUGGGAAUGAAUUCGCAAUGAGCACGCAUUCACACAAAAUAUUUGUCAGAUUAUCGGGGAGUCUUUAAUUAUAAACCAACAAAAUAGUUCUGGAUGGGCUCCAGUGUGUUCUAUUCCUCGCCACCAUUCUCAAAGGCGAACGUGACGACUUGGAAAACCCCAACACCUGCGAGAGAACAGACGAAGUUUAAUAAACAAUGACGCA